CUCUGAGAAGAUUCACGAGAGAUCUGGACCCAAAAGGGGGAAACAUGCCUGGACCCACAGACUGCGUGAGAGAAAGCAGCUGGUGAUUUAUGAAGAGAUCAGCGACCCUGAGGAAGAUGACAAGUAACUCCAUAAGUGAACCUUCGGCUCACCCUCCACAUCCCUGCAGAUGUGCUAUUCUGUUAUGCCUCAGGGAUACGACACAUGCCCAUGAUGAGAAGCAGAACGUGGUGACCUUUCACGAACGUGGGCAUGGCUGCGGACCCCUCGUCAUCAGGUGUAUAGCAAGUGAAAGCAAGUGUUCACAACAGUGAAAAGUUGAGCGUCAUUUUUCUUAGUGUGCCAAGAGUUCGAUGUUGGCGUUUCCGUUGUAUUUUCUUGCAGUGUGCCAUUCUGUUAGACAUUAGCAUUUUCGUUGAUGAGCAAGACAUGCUUAAUGCAUAUUUCGGCUUGUGUAUCCAUGCACCUACCUCAGAAAACAAGUAUUGUCAGGUAUUCUCUCCAUAGAACAGCACUACCCUCCUCUCUCCCCAGAUGUGACUACUGAGGGGAGGUCUGAGUGUUUAAUUUCCGAUUUUUUCCUCUGCAUUUACACACACACCACACACGCACACACACACACCAAGUACCAGUAUAAGCAUCUCCCAUCUGCUUUUCUCCACUGCCAUGUGUCCUGGUCAAGCCCCCCUCACUCUGUUUCCUGUUCAGCAUGUACUCCCCUCAUCCGAUUCCCCUCUAUCAGUCACUGACAGUUAAUAAACCUUUGC
rnacentral:lncRNA from 1 species